UACGUAGGAUGCGAGCGUUAUCCGGAUUUAUUGGGUUUAAAGGGUGCGCAGGCGGAUUUUUAAGUCAGCGGUCAAAUCGUGGGGCUCAACCCCAUCCAGCCGUUGAAACUGGGGAUCUAGAGUGUGCGAGAGGUAUGCGGAAUGCGUGGUGUAGCGGUGAAAUGCAUAGAUAUUACUCAGAACACCGAUUGCGCAGGCAGCUUGCUAAUCCGCAUCUGACGCUGAUGCACGAAAGCGUGGGUAGCGAACAGG
rnacentral:rRNA from 1 species